rnacentral:tRNA from 1 species
CCCCUGAUGGUCCAGUGGUUAGGACUUGGUGCUUUCACUGCCAAGGGCCCAGGUUCAAUCCCUGGUCAGGAAA